rnacentral:rRNA from 1 species
CCUACGGGUGGCUGCAGUGGGGGAUAUUGCACAAUGGGGGAAACCCUGAUGCAGCGACGCCGCGUGAGUGAAGAAGUAUUUAGGUAUGUUAAGCUUUAUUAGCAGGGAAGCAAAUGACAGUACCUGACCAAGAAGCCCCGGCUAACGACGUGCCAGCAGCCGCGGUAAUAAGUAGGGGGCAAGCGUUAUCCGGCUUUACUGGGCGUUAAGGGAGCGUCGAGGGUUAUGUAAGUCUGGAGUUAAAGCUCGGGGGCCAAACCCGGUACUGCUUUGGAAACUGUGUAACUGGAGUACAGGAGAGGCAGGCGGAAUUCCUGGUGUAGCGGUGAAAUGCGUAGAUAUCAGGAAGAACACCGGCGGCGAAGGCAGCCUGCUGGCCUGAAACUGACGUUGAGGCUCGAAAGCGUGGGGAGCGAACAGGAUUAGAUACCCCUGUAGUC